CCAGACUCCUACGGGAGGCAGCAGUGGGGAAUAUUGCACAAUGGGGGAAACCCUGAUGCAGCGACGCCGCGUGAAGGAUGAAGUAUUUCGGUAUGUAAACUUCUAUCAGCAGGGAAGAAAAUGACGGUACCUGACUAAGAAGCCCCGGCUAACUACGUGCCAGCAGCCGCGGUAAUACGUAGGGGGCAAGCGUUAUCCGGAUUUACUGGGUGUAAAGGGAGCGUAGACGGCAUGGCAAGUCUGAUGUGAAAACCCGGGGCUCAACCCCGGGACUGCAUUGGAAACUGUCAGGCUAGAGUGCAGGAGAGGUAGGUGGAAUUCCUAGUGUAGCGGUGAAAUGCGUAGAUAUUAGGAGGAACACCAGUGGCGAAGGCGGCUUACUGGACUGUAACUGACGUUGAGGCUCGAAAGCGUGGGGAGCAAACAGGAUUAGAUACCCCCGUA
rnacentral:rRNA from 1 species